rnacentral:rRNA from 1 species
UACGGAGGGUGCAAGCGUUAAUCGGAAUUACUGGGCGGAAAGCGUGCGCAGGCGGUUUGUUAAGUCUGUUGUGAAAUCCCCGAGCUCAACUUGGGAAUUGCAAUGGAUACUGGCAGGCUGGAGUAUGGUAGAGGAAGGUGGAAUUCCCGGUGUAGCAGUGAAAUGCGUAGAGAUCGGGAGGAACACCAGUGGCGAAGGCGGCCUUCUGGACCAAUACUGACGCUCAUGCACGAAAGCGUGGGGAGCAAACAGG